AUGCGCUCAGAGUUCUCUUCCUAUUUUUUUUUUCUCUCCACAUCUCCAUUCCUAGGGAUUUACUUUCAGCUCUGUUCCAGAACAGAUGCUCUUUUCCACUCCCCAGGGACAUCAAGAGCUUGGAGCAGAAAUAAUAGCUCCUCCUUACAAAAAGACAAGAGUGGAGAGAACCACACAAUGUCUUUAACUUUUGGGGGAAGACUCAAGAGCUCUAAGACAAAUAAUUUUAGUCACCUGUCUCUACAGUCUUUGCAUACAUGGAGAUCCAGGGACCCUCUUUUGGGGUAUGGAUCGGGACCAUUUUCUGGUAACAGAACGUCUAGGCCAAGUUGAAAAGAGCGGUGUCUGCAAUGGACCCGGUAUCGAGUACUGAAGCACUGGUACCACGCCACUGAACAUAAGUAAAGGGAAUGAUAAACUCUUCUUUAUUUGUUUAUUCUUUUUUCAUAAAUCACACAUAAAGGUGAAUAAUUCAUUGAUCCUCUUUCAAGAAGCUUAUGAUACAGUGGAGAAAGUAACUCCUAUGUAAAUAUCUCUGGUCUACAGAACAAAGGUUGCAACUGCCAUGAACAAAGAGAGGGAAAAGUUGCUAAAUCCUGAAGAAGCUGGGGUGGGGGUGGGAGGCAGGUGUUAGCUGGGGAAAGGUUCCUGGAGGAAGCACUAGUCUAGUUAGAUCUUAAAGGAUGAGUGGUAGCAGAAUAUUCAGAGGUGGGAGAGAACGGCUCUCUAGUCUGGUGUAGUAAAGCCUGGCCUAUGGAGGGUGCCAUGAAAGAGAAUAACUAUUACAGAGGAACUUCAUGAAUGUGUAAAGAUAAACGAGUUCCAAAUUGGGACGUUUCUUUGAAGAUGGCAGUAAGUAGGGAUGAUCCUGAAAGAGUGUCAUCGCUAGGGGAACUCUACCCAUGUGCAUAGUAGAGUUGCGGAAAUGAGACUUUUUCUGGAAGAGUCCACCUGAAAUGAGUUGACUGAGAUUUGCAUAUGGAAAUAAGCAGCUUGGGUACAACUGAAAUAAUUAAAAGGCUUCCUUUCUCAGCUGUGGGUGUUUUCAUCUCCAUGUCCAACUGUUGGGGGAAGGAAGUGUCUUACUGCUUUGAUUAGUCAGUUUUGGGGCACCCUAAGAAGUGGAGUGCAAAUAGGCAGGGAUAGAGGUGGCGUGUUUCCCAGUUCUCCUGCAAUGCUCAAAUCCAACCCAUUAUUCACCCCAGGAAAGAAGCACCUGAGAUUUCAUGUAAACCAUAAGAGCAACUGCCCUUUGAUGCCUCCAUGGCUCCCAAGAUAACAUCAUUCUGUUGCUGUGACAAAGGCUGGUGAGAAAAGAGAAUUUGGGCAUCUGAAUGCUGGUUUUCAUGUGUCUCAUGUGUUAACCACCUCCUUCAAGUUGUAUACCCUGCCUUUGUUGUUGGUUUGCUCCCCGUGGUUUUGAGAAACCUCUGUCUAUUCUUCUGAUGCUAUUGUGAACGUGGAGCAUUUUGACUUGCUGCUCACAUUCUCCCUUGUCACAGUGGCCAAUAUUCGGUUGUCUCUAUGAUUCCCAUUUUGCUCUGCCUGCGCUGAGAGGUACAGAUGAGUGCCAUAAGUGAGGUUCUUUCUUUUCCUCCCUUCAGAACUUUUUGAUUUGGAGCAAUAAAGCCUCUGAUUCUCGGGUGACAUCUUUAGACAUAGUGUCUGUUUCCUGAAUUCAUCCCUUGUUUCUCACUUUAUUUCUGUCUCGUAUGUUUAGCCUUUCAUUUUCUCAAUAGCUUUUGAAAUAUUUAUGAUGUCUGGAACCUGUUUCUUAGUACUUGCAUCAUGAACAUUCAAAAAGUGCUGUCAUGCUGUGGUAACAAAAAUGUGGAAAAACAUGUCCACAUAGCAGUUACCAAUUUGUGCUCUACAGUUCUUCAGGAUUUUAGUUUACCAGCCACCCACUGUCACCUUUCAUUUUUCUAGGUUCACUGUAGCUUUUCCAUGAUACAACUUUUUGCUGAUUUAUAGCAUCUAAAACAUUCCAGAAGAAUUAAAUGUGUUUCAGAGAGAGAGAGAGAGAGAGAGAGAAACAAAAGCAACAAAAACAAAAAACAGGGGUCUUGCUCUCUUGGGAAAUACAGACAUGGUAAGAAUGAGACUGAUCCUUUUUGUUUGAAGUCAGUUCUCUUCUGGGAUCACUUUAUUGGUUCCAUCUGCAAUUGCUUCUUUUUGCUAAAUGCCUUACUAUUUGAUCAGAAACAGCCUGCUUUUGAUUCAACUGGAAAAUGUGACUGCUUUUGUGCUUAACAUUUAGUUUUGUGUUUUCCUUCUUGUAGCCUCACAUUGGGUUUCAUUCAUCCAUUCAUUUAACAUUUAAGGAACACCCACAGGGGGCCUGGCACCACUCUAGGUUGUGGAAGAAACGGGGAGAAGAGGGUCCUGUCCAGCACAGAGGAGACACAGCUCCUAUAUUCAGUUGUUUGGGAGGCACUUAUUCUUUGUUGGCAUCCUGGAUAAUGAAGACUAUUGAAAGGGGAAGCUCCCUUUAACUUCAAAGGGUGUUUUGUGCAUAUAUGAGGCUCCCUCAGGGGCCAAAGAGAAAUAGAGCUAGGAUUAGAGUGAGAGUGGGUGAAGCUGAGUGUAACAGAGAAAAAGUCGGAUGUUAAAAAUAUCUCAACAGGAAUAAACAAACAGCAUCAGCUGUGUCUUAUUAUAUUGUCGUGAGGACUGUAGAGGGCAGGCAGGGAAGAGAAGUGAAAUAAACACUGAUUAAUAUUCGGGAGGCACAGGGGAUUCACAAUCUAAAUAGAAACAAAGGAAUUAUCUUCGUGCUGCUGGUUUUGGGACCAGCCAGAAAUAGAAGAGUAAGCUGGAACCUCCCAAUGCAUUGAUGGCUGUUAGUAAAUCCGUUCCAGAAGCAGCAAUAUGACUUUUAUAAACCAACAAAUUAUCACAUCACAAAUUAUUUUUUUAUUGCUCUAGGAAGCAACUUACAAUUGCAUCCAAUUGUUACAAAAAGGCAUUACAUUAGUCAAAAAAAAAUGAUUUUUAGAAAUCUACAUUUUCCAAAUCUAUCACGGUAAAUUUCUUAAAAUCCUUUAUUUUU
ensembl:lncRNA